rnacentral:rRNA from 1 species
AAGUCGUAACAAGGUUUCCGUAGGUGAACCUGCGGAAGGAUCAUUAUUAAAAAGCAAAGGAGUGCACUUUAUUGUGGCUCUAAACCUUUUAAAUAUAUUUUAACCCAUUUUAAAACCCAAAGUUGUUAUGUGUGCCUUUUUUGGUAUAGCAUCUCAACAGUACGUUAACUUGUGUUGUUGUUUCACAUGAGCUCUGACAUUACCCCCCUUUAUAAGUGACCCCCCCUUUUUUUGUUAAUAACUCUUUAUAAAAAUGUUUUUAAGAAUGUAAACCCCUUUAAAAAAAAAAUAUAACUUUUAACAAUGGAUCUCUUGGCUCUCACAUCGAUGAAGAACACAGUGAAAUGUGAUAAGUAAUGUGAAUUGCAGAAUUCAGUGAAUCAUUGAAUCUUUGAACGCACCUUGCACCUUUUGGUAUUCCAAAAGGUACACCUGUUUGAGUGUCAUGAAACCCUCUCAUUCCAAUUCUUUAUUUUAUAUAAGGAGUUGUGUAAUGGAUGUUGAGUGUUGCUGUCAUUGGCUCACUUUAAAUAUAUAAGUACUUUUAUUUGAAAAAAAUAAAUGGAGUAAUACUUGGUGUAAUAUUUAUUAUUCAUUGAGGAGUGUAGUUUAAUUACUACAGCCAUUUGUUUCAGAUAAAUAGCUUCCUAACCACAUUUUCAAUUUUAGACCUCAAAUCAGGUGGGACUACCCGCUGAACUUAAGCAUAUCAAUAAGCGGAGGAAAAGAAACUAACAAGGAUUCCCCUAGUAACGGCGAGUGAAGAGGGAAAAGCCCAAAUUUGUAAUCUGGCUCUUUUAGAGUCCGAGUUGUAAUUUUAAGAA